rnacentral:rRNA from 1 species
UACGUAGGGGGCGAGCGUUGUCCGGAUUUAUUGGGCGUAAAGAGCUCGUAGGCGGUUCGAUAAGUCGGACGUGGAAUCUCCACGCUCAACGUGGAGGGGCCGUUCGAUACUGUCGUGACUCGAGUCCGGUAGGGGAGUGUGGAAUUCCCGGUGUAGCGGUGAAAUGCGCAGAGAUCGGGAGGAACACCCGUAGCGAAGGCGGCACUCUGGGCCGGUACUGACGCUGAGGAGCGAAAGCUAGGGGAGCGAACGGG